rnacentral:tRNA from 1 species
AGCUUUAUAGUCAAAUAAUUGAUAUAAAAUUGCAAAUUUUAAGUUGUAUAUUAUGUACUAAGGCUU